GCCUCUGUAGCUUAACGGUGGAGCACAGCCUUGGUAAGGCUGAGGUUCCGAGUUCAAAUCUCGGCAGAGGCU
rnacentral:tRNA from 1 species